UUGGCUCGGUUGGUUAGAGCAUGGUGCUGAUAACACCAGGGUUGCAGGUUCAAGGCUGCAUAUUCCUGCGUUGCAG